rnacentral:rRNA from 2 species
UGCAGUCGAACGAUGAAGCCCAGCUUGCUGGGUGGAUUAGUGGCGAACGGGUGAGUAACACGUGAGUAACCUGCCCCCGACUCUGGGAUAAGCCCGGGAAACUGGGUCUAAUACCGGAUAUUACCUUUGACCGCAUGGUUGUUGGUGGAAAGAUUUAUCGGUGGGGGAUGGACUCGCGGCCUAUCAGCUUGUUGGUGAGGUAAUGGCUCACCAAGGCGACGACGGGUAGCCGGCCUGAGAGGGUGACCGGCCACACUGGGACUGAGACACGGCCCAGACUCCUACGGGAGGCAGCAGUGGGGAAUAUUGCACAAUGGGCGAAAGCCUGAUGCAGCGACGCCGCGUGAGGGAUGACGGCCUUCGGGUUGUAAACCUCUUUCAGUAGGGAAGAAGCGAAAGUGACGGUACCUGCAGAAGAAGCGCCGGCUAACUACGUGCCAGCAGCCGCGGUAAUACGUAGGGCGCAAGCGUUAUCCGGAUUUAUUGGGCGUAAAGAGCUCGUAGGCGGUUUGUCGCGUCUGCCGUGAAAGUCCGAGGCUCAACCUCGGAUCUGCGGUGGGUACGGGCAGACUAGAGUGAUGUAGGGGAGACUGGAAUUCCUGGUGUAGCGGUGAAAUGCGCAGAUAUCAGGAGGAACACCGAUGGCGAAGGCAGGUCUCUGGGCAUUUACUGACGCUGAGGAGCGAAAGCAUGGGGAGCGAACAGGAUUAGAUACCCUGGUAGUCCAUGCCGUAAACGUUGGGCACUAGGUGUG